rnacentral:rRNA from 1 species
GACGAACGCUGGCGGCGUGCCUAAUACAUGCAAGUCGAACGCUUUUAUCUCACCGGGUGCUUGCACCCACCGAGAUAAAGGAGUGGCGGACGGGUGAGUAACACGUGGGUAACCUGCCCAUAAGUGGGGGAUAACAUUCAGAAACGGAUGCUAAUACCGCAUAUCUCUAUUGGCCUCAUGGCCAAGUGAUGAAAGGCGGCUUCGGCUGUCGCUUAUGGAUGGACCUGCGGCGCAUUAGUUAGUUGGUGAAGUAACGGCUCACCAAGACGAUGAUGCGUAGCCGACCUGAGAGGGUGAUCGGCCACACUGGGACUGAGACACGGCCCAGACUCCUACGGGAGGCAGCAGUAGGGAAUCUUCCGCAAUGGACCAAAGUCUGACGAGAGCAACGCCGCGUGAGUGAAGAAGGUUUUCGGAUCGUAAAACUCUGUUGUUAGAGAAGAACAAGGAUGAGAGUAACUGCUCGUCCCUUGACGGUAUCUAACCAGAAAGCCAUGGCUAACUACGUGCCAGCAGCCGCGGUAAUACGUAGAUGGCAAGCGUUGUCCGGAUUUAUUGGGCCGUAGAGCGAGUGCAGGCGGUUCUUUAAGUCUGAUGUGAAAGCCCCUGGCUUAACCAGGGAGGGUCAUUGGAAACUGGAGGACUUGAGUGCAGAAGAGGAAAGUGGAAUUCCAUGUGUAGCGGUGAAAUGCGUAGAUAUAUGGAGAAACACCAGUGGCGAAGGCGACUUUUUGGUCUGUAACUGACGCUGAGACUCGAAAGCAUGGGGAGCAAACAAAAUUAGAUACCCUGGUAGUCCAUGCCGUAAACGAUCCCUUAAAGGUGUUGGAGGGUUUCCGCCUUUCAGUGCUGCAGAUAACGCAUUAAGCACUCCGCGGGGGGAGUACGGCCGCAAGGCUGAAACUCAAAGGAAUUGACGGGGGCCCGCACAAGCGGUGGAGCAUGUGGUUUAAUUCGAAGCAACGCGAAGCACCUUACCAGGUCUUGACAUCCUUUGACCACUCUAGAGAUAGAGCUUUCCCUUCGGGGACAAAGUGACAGGUGGUGCAUGGUUGUCGUCAGCUCGUGUCGUGAGAUGUUGGGUAAAGUCCCGCAACGAGCGCAACCCUUAUUAUUAGUUGCCAGCAUUCAGUUGGGCACUCUAGUGAGACUCCCGGUGACAAACCGGAGGAAGGUGGGGAUGACGUCAAAUCAUCAUGCCCCUUAUGACAUGGGCUACACACGUGUUCCAAUGGAUGGUACAAAGAGUUCCGAAACAGUGAGGUUUAGUUAAUUUAUUAAAGCCAUUCUCAGUUGGGAUUGUAGGCUGCAAUUCGCCUACAUGAAGCGGGAAUCGCUAGUAAUCGCGGAUCAGCACGCCGCGGUGAAUACGUUCCCGGGCCUUGUACACACCGCCCGUCACCCCACGAGAGUGUGUAACACCCAAAGUCGGUGAGAAAACCUUCGGGAGCCAGCCGCCUAAGGUGGGA